rnacentral:rRNA from 1 species
CAGCCGCCGCGGGAAUACGUAGGGUGCAAGCGUUAUCCGGAAUUAUUGGGCGUAAAGAGCUCGUAGGCGGUUUGUCGCGUCUGCUGUGAAAACUGGAGGCUCAACCUCCAGCCUGCAGUGGGUACGGGCAAACUAGAGUGCGGUAGGGGAGAUUGGAAUUCCUGGUGUAGCGGUGGAAUGCGCAGAUAUCAGGAGGAACACCGAUGGCGAAGGCAGAUCUCUGGGCCGUUACUGACGCUGAGGAGCGAAAGCGUGGGGAGCGAACAGGAUUAGAGACCCCUGUAGUCCCUGUCUCUUAUAC